CUACGGGAGGCAGCAGUGAGGAAUAUUGGUCAAUGGUCGGGAGACUGAACCAGCCAAGCCGCGUGAGGGAUGAAGGCACAGAGUAUCGUAAACCUCUUUUGUCAGGGAACAAAGGCGGGGACGUGUCCCCGGAUGAGUGUACCUGAAGAAAAAGCAUCGGCUAACUCCGUGCCAGCAGCCGCGGUAAUACGGAGGAUGCGAGCGUUAUCCGGGUUUAUUGGGUUUAAAGGGUGCGCAGGCGGUCUGUUAAGUCAGCGGUCAAAGCCCGGGGCUCAACCCCGGCCCGCCGUUGAAACUGGCAGUCU
rnacentral:rRNA from 1 species